GGGCCCGCACAAGCGGUGGAGCAUGUGGUUUAAUUCGAUGCAACGCGAAAAACCUUACCAGGCCUUGACAUCCUGAGAACUUUCUAGAGAUAGAUUGGUGCCUUCGGGAACUCAGUGACAGGUGUUGCAUGGCUGUCGUCAGCUCGUGUCGUGAGAUGUUGGGUUAAGUCCCGUAACGAGCGCAACCCUUAUCCUUAUUUGCCAGCACAUAAUGGUGGGAACUCUAAGGAGACUGCCGGUGACAAACCGGAGGAAGGAGAGGAUGAUGUCAAGUCAUCAUGGCCCUUACGGCCUGGGCUACACACGUGCUACAAUGGGCAGUACAGAGGGCCGCGAACCCGCGAGGGGGAGCUAAUCCCAAAAAACCGGUCGUAGUCCGGAUUGCAGUCUGCAACUCGACUGCAUGAAGCUGGAAUCGCUAGUAA
rnacentral:rRNA from 1 species